rnacentral:tRNA from 1 species
GCCCCCGUAGCUCAGUGGAUAGAGCGCGACGUUGCGGACGUUGAGGUCGGAGGUUCGAGUCCUCUCGGGGGUG